UUGGAAUAAGAAAAGAUUUAGAUGACAGUGGGAAAGAAAUGAUGCAUGAAGCAAUGCGAAACACAAAGGUAAGAAGAGAUCAAGUAACAUUCACAGAAAUAGAGAAUUGGGGGCAAUUCACCAGACUAUAGAGAGAUGAAAAAUGGGCUUCCACCUCCAAGUAUUCAUAGAACUAAAAUUCAAAACAAAACAAAAACCAGGAAUACAAUAAUACCUUGGGCUUCUGGCUCUCCACUGAUGGAAGAAGAUAAGUUAGAGUGACAUUUUCCUUCAAUUUGGAGGCUUGAGUUUGCAAAACCUACUUCCAAAAGCAGUUUUAUCUCUUUAUGGACAUGAUACUCUGGAUUUAAGGUAAGGUUCCAACAGAAAGAUAGCAGGACCCAAAUUAUAGUCUCAGAUUCUGAACAGGAUGAGACAAUUUUUAAUCACAAGUUUUCAGACCUACCUAGGGUUCUUUCUUCACGAUGUUACAGUAUGGCCUGAGACUUCAGGCUUAAAAGAAAUAGCCUAAAUAUUAAUUAGAGUUAUAAGAACGCCUCAUAAAAUUGGGAUUAUGCUUUGUAUCACCAUUAGCUGGACCACAAUGGCAUUGCUAGGUAAAAAUUUGGCAGGCUGAUGAAAAAAUAGAACUUGUUAAUCUCUCUGUGUAAGUUUUCAAAUAUAGUUUCUACCAUUUUCCCCCUCAUUUUUAAAAACACCGGAUCCAUGGAGUUGCGCAAUCAAUGGAGUUGCACAGAUCCAUUUUAAUACUACAAAAGCAACUAAAGAACGAACUGUCAUAUAAAAGUCUGAAAGACUUAAAAAACAAGUACCUUAAAAUUUCUGUGAAAGCACAAGAAACCACAGAUUACCAACACCCUGAGGGCAUGAAGCUCUGCUCUGAUUAUCUGAAUCAAAAAAUGGAAUAAAUGAUCUGACAAAUGAUCUAGAACAGAACACACUAGUUGAAAUUGAUGGGAUCUUGCCAACCUCCUGCAAACAACAUUUAAUUGGUUGGUAGAGUGGCCAUGCUCUUCCAGAGUGGUCAUAGCAAUUAUGUAGACCUAGGUUAACAAUCACAUGUGAAAUGACCAAAGAAUGGAUGAAUGGCUUAUCCUUAUUCAAAUAAGGUGGAUUCUCCAAAGAAACCAAAGAAAUUGUUAUCAAAUGCAUCCUCUAUCCCUACAUGCUGAAUUUGAUUGCUAGUACUCUUUUCCUGAAGUCUGGGAUUCCAUAUUCCAUCAAGUUUAGAUGAUUAGAAAACUUAAUAUCACUUCAUUUCCCUACUUACCUAUGGAAGGACAGAGGGAAAGAAUCUCUGAGAGAUCUUGCUCCUGCUGUAUGACCUCCAGUGAAGACCUAUUAAAUGGAGAAGAGGCUGAAGGGGCAAGGGAUAAGACAAGACAACAACCAAGGCUGUGAUGAAAGAACAGAUUCAGGUCAGAACAGAUGACUCAGGUCUUCCAGAAGAAUUUCAAGCCAACAAUAACUAUCAAGCAGUAGCCUACUCAACUGAUUUGGUCUGAAUUACCCCCUUUUAGUUGUUCUUUUAAAUAUAUAAAGGAUAUCCAGGUAAUUUUCCGUCCAAUUCAUGUUGAGUUAUAUGAAUAUACCUUG